UCUUCUGUUGUAGGUAAGGAGAGGUGCUGAUAGAGCAGAAAUAUAUAGCUUGGCUUUCUCGAAUAAUUUGCAGUAUUUGGCUGUGUCCAGUGAUAAAGGAACAAUACAUGUGUUCAAUUUGAAGAUAAAUGUGGGAUCGACUGCAAAUGAUAAACCUAUACCUGCUCCAGAUCCUGAAGUUUCGCAUAUAAGUCCCCCUUUUUCGUUCAUUAAGGGUGUGUUGCCGAAAUAUUUCCAUUCUGAGUGGUCAGUAGCUCAGUUCAGGCUCCAUGAGGGGGAGCAGUACAUUGUUGCAUUUGGACAUGAGAAGAAUACCGUGUCAGUUGUUGGUAUGGAUGGAAGCUUCUACAGAUGUCAAUUUGACCCAGUUAAUGGAGGAGAAAUGCUGCAGCUGGAUUGCUACAGUUUUCUAAAACCGUCAGAUCAACCGUAGCAACACACAAUUAUCAUAUAUCUAUUGAUGCCCUCCUCCCCGUACCAAGAACUGUACAGUAUCUUUGUGGCCGGAGGUCUAAGCUAAAUAUGAUAAUAUUUUCUUUGUGUAUAUAUAUUUCUUGUUGCCUCUGGGUGAUGUGUGUUCUGUCUGUUGAAGGGCUAAAACACCCAUCUGCAGAUGGACGUAAUAGAACGUGUCGUUAUUAUUUAUGGAUGGAUUGAAUAAAAUAGCCUAACAAUGUUUCUCCAAUGUUAUUUUUGCCCUGUUUUGAUCUCAUCUGGUGAAUAAAUUAGCUGUCUGCUCGUACGGCAACUACUAUGCCCUUUGAUUGCGUUGUCUGUCGGGUCAGGAUGUCACGAGAACAAUGACACAAGGAAGGUUAGGUUUUACAGUGCAAUAUUCUGCACAAACAUACAAGGUUCUAAUCCUCAAGUGAGGAGCCGAAGGCUAAGACGAUUGCUAGUUUGCUACUAGCUUGAAAGAGUCUUGUCUGGUGGUUAAUUGUGUGUGUGAAAAUGAAUGCUGUUCUAUUCCUACCACCUUCUUUUAAACUCUAAAAGGAUGUUAGUGUUACAAACAAAGAAAGGUGUUAAUGUAUGCCCUCAAGUGUUCUGCAGGCUAUGCCUUCGCUCGCCUCGUUAUGCCGCCCAUCUACUAAUUUUACUAUACGCAUUACGCGCGCGCCUGCGCGCGUGUUGCCCUUUCUUUUUCUUUGACAAGCUUAUUUUGUUUGAAAUAGCAAGUAUUUAGAAACACUUGUUCAAAUUUCAACAAUAUUUUCUUGGUACUAAUAGCAGUAGUACAAACUUAGACUACAAUACAUAACAAGGUUGCAUAAAGUAACAUACUUGAGUAUCCAGUAAUAAUAUGUCUGUAAAGUUUACAUAGACAAACAUAAUUUUAGGAAGGCUUCAACAGUAGAGUCAUAUGUAUACAAAAGUCUAUAGACCAAAAGUGAUGAAGUCUUUCUUGCAUAGACACACAGUUCUAGGAAGGCUCCAACAUCAGAUUCAUAUGUACACAAAAGUCUUAUGAUCAAAAGUGAUGGAGUCUCUCCUAUUCUUGCCCAAAAUAAAAAAAAC